CAUGGCCUUUUGAUUAUAAUUUAAGGUCUGACCUGCCCAAUGAAAAUUUAAAUGGCCGCGGUAUUUUGACCGUGCAAAGGUAGCAUAAUCAUUAGUUUUUUAAUUGAAAGCUGGAAUGAAAGGUUGGAUGAGAAAAAAGCUGUCUCUAUUUAAUUUAUUUAGAAUUUUAUUUUUAAGUUAAAAAGCUUAAAUUUAAAUAGAAGACGAGAAGACCCUAUAGAGUUUUAUUAAUUCUUUUUAUAAAAUUAAUAGUAUUUUUUAUUUUUAUAAAAGUAAUUAAUUUAGUUGGGGUGAUUGAAAAAUUAAAUAAACUUUUUUUAUAUAUAUACAUAAAUAUAUGAUUAAUUGAUCCUUAAUUUAAGAUUAAAAGAUAAAAUUACCUUAGGGAUAACAGCGUAAUUUUUUUUGAGAGUUCAAAUCGAAAAAAAAGAUUGCGACCUCGAUGUUGGAUUAAAAUAAAAUUUNGGUNUAGAAGCUAAAGUAUUUAGGUCUGUUCGACCUUUAAAAUUUUACUUGAU
rnacentral:rRNA from 1 species